UGAGCGAAUUGUUUCCCUUGCCAAUCUACGUCAAGAAACAUAUCUUGUAAAUACUCUGCGUUCUCAAUAAUAAUAUUGGUCGUGCGAAGUUGAUUAAGAACAAAAAGCAUUAAAAGGAGAUUUUAUCGCAGAUUGAAGAGGCAGAGAUAUGAAGAUCGCUAUUCUUGGAGCAACUGGGCGGACCGGGUUGGUCCUGGUCAGACAGGCUCUUGACCAGGGACACGAUGUGCUGGCUCUUGUACGAAACCCACAGGCGAUGACGAAGCAAAUUCAGCACGAACGACUCAAGGCUUACCAGGUAGAUUUGAAUGAUGAGGCUACAAUUGUGAGACCUCUGAAGGAGGCAGAUGCUGUGAUGUCAUGCAUUGGUGCACCCCCAAGCUCGAGUUUCUUCAAAAGCACAACCCUGUACCAGGAUUCUGCAGUUGUUAUUGUCAGUGCCAUGCGACAGACUGGUCUCAAGAAGCUAGUGAUCAUGUCAGGUUCAGGAACAAAAGGGGAGCAAGGAGAAAUGUUCUUGGCGAGAGUCUUAAGACCACUAUUAAAAAACCUUAAAAGUAUGGCUUCUAUGGAAGAUUACCUGGAGCAGCAGUGUGCAGAUAUCAAUUACACUGUGGUUCGCCCACCUGGACUUAAUGAAAAGCCUAGUACAAACAAAGAGAUCAAAAGUCGAGAAGGACAGUAUGUUCCAAAUGCUGCUCUUUACAUGCCACGUGCUGAUGUCGCACGUUUCAUGUUAUCGUGUUUGGAAACAGACAAUUAUGACAGGAAAAUGGUUGCCAUUUCUGUUUGAGUGGAUGUUAUUCAAAUGUACUACAAGCCUGGAUACUGCCUAGGAUUCACAGGUGCAUGAGGGCACAGAGGAAACACCCACAAAUGCAGGCAGCGUUUGGAGAUAUUUGUUUUCACCUUCAGUUUGGUAGGCAACACUUAGGUUGACUAGAUAAUCCAAGGGAGACAAUUUAAUCCACAGCCUGACAACACAUUCUGCUAGGCCAUUAAUUUCUUUUCUUUUUCCCUCUGUUCCAUUCCUGUAAACAAUUUCUGAGAAAUAAUAAACUACACUUUGAUUGAUAUUGACUAAGAACAGUGCUUGUUUAGGAUAUUUGGACAUUUUUGAAUGUGUUUAUGAAAUGUGAUAUAUAUAUUUGUGUAUUAUAAAUUGAAUGAUUAUAUUUUUUUAGUAGUGUUAUUUUUAUGCUAUAGUUGUAAUGUGACAAUCAUGACUAAUAAUUGUCUUUCUACUUUUGACUGUUAGCCUCAAGUAAACUUUUGACUGUUAUCCUCAUGUAAAAACUUCAUAUGUAUGUUUGCUUUUUUCUUGCCAGAGUCUAGAGUCUCAGUAAUUUUAAAAUUGUCAAAUAAUCGUGGACCAGUGUCAGUACCAUUAUUAAACUAUAUAUUUCUUAUGUUCUUUAUAUUGUAUAAAUAAAAAUACCAGUUAUUCAGUAAUAAACUAUUAUGUGGAAAUCAU
rnacentral:misc_RNA from 1 species